GACAGAGGGGGCAAGCGUUGCUCGGAAUCACUGGGCGUAAAGGGCGCGUAGGCGGGAUGGCAAGUCGGUCGUGAAAUCCUUCGGCUCAACCGAAGAACGUCGGCCGAUACUGCUGUUCUUGAGGGAUGCAGAGGAGAUUGGAAUUCCCGGUGUAGCGGUGAAAUGUGUAGAGAUCGGGAGGAACACCGGUGGCGAAGGCGGGUCUCUGGGCAUUAACUGACGCUGAGGAGCGAAAGCAUGGGGAGCGAACAGG
rnacentral:rRNA from 1 species